ACAAGGCAACAAAAAAGAGAAUAACUAUGCACUGUUUCUAUAAGAAAAUUGUAUAAGAACAUGUGUUACACAAAAAUUUUAUUGUCUAACAUUUUUGCAGUUGCACAGGUCACAUGUUACAGAUAGAUAAGGUGCCCACAUGAUAGAACAAAAAAAACUAAGGAGCACACAAGCCUUUGUUUUCUCCCUAACAGAUUGACUGCUUUACUUGCGAUGAUAGCAUGCAGAACUUUGUGUUUGUUGAUCCCUUUAACUGUCAAAAACGCUCUCAUGUUAUGGGAGGGAGUAUCAAUGUACUCGUGAUCGCCUGACUGGUAAAGCAACAAACAGGCCAGUAGAACAUCACGGCUAAUACAGCGGCAGACCACACAGUGCGGGAAACUACAAUGGCCAAUUCUAAAACCUUGUGGUUAAUAGAUAAACACACAUCCAUGAUGAUCCAAUACAAUAGGAUAAAAUCGACACGCUGAGGGAACUAAUGGCUUUUCAGCUAAUAACAUACAGCACAUGACAACAGCGCAGCGGGUACCUUUGUUCACUACAACUAGAUAGGAAGUGCGGCUUGCCGCACCCCACCCGCCCAGCCACAUCCAACCUGGUAUAUGACGUUUUUUAUUUCAUACGUUUAUACGAUGAAAGGCAAUAGUGUAACGGUUCAGUAUGUUAUAGCAAAAGUGCAAGGUUCAAUAGGUCACGACAAUUUGUUUACAAAUAUAUAUUACACAAGGCAACAAAAAAGAGAAUAACUAUGCACUGUUUCUAUAAGCAAAUUGUAUAAGAACAUGUGUUACACAAAAAUUUUAUUGUCUAACAUUUUUGCAGUUGCACAGGUCACAUGUUACAGAUAGAUAAGGUGCCCACAUGAUAGAACAAAAAAAACUAAGGAGCACACAAGCCUUUGUUUUCUCCCUAACAGAUUGACUGCUUUACUUGCGAUGAUAGCAUGCAGAACUUUGUGUUUGUUGAUGGUGGAACUUGCACAAGUAACUCCACAUUUAGUCCGACAAAAUGAUGGCAGCUUCCAUGGAGCCGCCAGACCUGAGAAGCACAAAGAAUGAAAACAUGAGUAAACUGAAGAUGUCAUGAACAUAAAUUUGUCAAAAGUGCAGGAUCAAUGCACAAUAUUUAUCAA
rnacentral:lncRNA from 1 species